CCCGGUCCCGAGAAGCCGCAAUGGCGCCAGGCUCUCUCUGUCAGACUCACCCGGGCCGCCAGUUCAGCAGAAGCCGCCGGACACCCAACAUGGCACCCACGCUGAGCUCGCCUCGCGCCGACUGUCCUCGAGCUGGAGCUCCAGUUCCGAGUGGGGGUGGGGACAGGGGACAUGGGACUAGGGGCUGGGGUUGACCUGUCCACUGCCUUCUCUGAUGACCGGAGCCGCUCCCUGUCCCACUGGUGGCGGCUUCACUUCAAUCACUCUCGCUAUUUAUAAACUCCUUCUCAACGAUCGGCCUCACAUCAACAGCAAAAUACGCAGACUGUAAAAAUCUGAAACCAUAAAGCAGAAAUAGCCCAGUGGCCUAACGCUGCUGUCGCUGCCUCUGAGCCAAGAAGAACCUCGUUCAAGCCCCACCUCGCUUUAUGAUCGACAGAGGGGUCAUCGAUGAAGCACCUGAAGAUGUUUGGCCUAGGACCCUACCCUAAAUAACUGCUUCAGCAACGUCUUUGAGCUGAAAAUGACUGGUCUCCGACAACCACAACCAUCUUCUUUUGUACCAGCAAUCUAGGAUGCAUUCCAUCUGGACCACGUGACUGAUCAAUCACCACUGUAUCACAAAAUAUUCUUGAAUAUUUUGUAGAAAUGACUCAAUUGUUUGUGAAUGUUACAACAUUUAGCUGCAAUUUAACUUUUAUUCCCCCUUUUUAAAAUUGAGAUUAAAAGUAAGAUUGGCUGCUUGGGGGUUGGAGCUGCCUGCCUAUUUAUGUGACAGCACACAAGAAUUUAAGAAUUAAAUACCCAGUGAUUUUUAAAAAAAAAUGUAAGCUUUGUAAAGUGGUAUGUCCAUAUUUACGCUACAUGCUCUGUUGAUUCCUAUGCCUGAAUAUAUCUCAAAACUGUCAUGGCAUAAAAGACGUUGAGAGUAGUGCACAAAAAAUACCAGAAGAAAUUAGAAAUUAUU